rnacentral:ncRNA from 3 species
CCGAGUUUACAACUCCCAAACCCAAUGUGAACGUUACCAAUCUGUUGCCUCGGCGGGAUUCUCUGCCCCGGGCGCGUCGCAGCCCCGGAUCCCAUGGCGCCCGCCGGAGGACCAACUCAAACUCUUUUUUCUCUCCGUCGCGGCCUACGUCGCGGCUCUGUUUUAUUUUUGCUCUGAGCCUUUCUCGGCGACCCUAGCGGGCGUCUCGAAAAUGAAUCA